UUGUGUCGGCCAUAUUGGAUUUUGAUUAAUUUCAGUGAUAUUUUAUGGGGAGAAAGUCGGUUUAAAACUUGUAAUAUGUCGGCUGGAUUGUUUAGUAAGGCUUUGAAAGGAGCUGGGUUUUCUAUAACUACAUCAAGAGAAGGCAGACGUUCUUUUCGUGGUACGUUUUUGAAUAUUAAAUGUUAUAAAUCGUUUGGAAAUAUGUUGCGUCAUUGGUGUAGUGGUGUGUGUACUAGGCACUGUAGUCAUCCCAG